rnacentral:rRNA from 1 species
GAUGAACGCUGGCGGCGUGCCUAAUACAUGCAAGUCGAGCGAACAGACGAGGAGCUUGCUCCUCUGACGUUAGCGGCGGACGGGUGAGUAACACGUGGAUAACCUACCUAUAAGACUGGGAUAACUUCGGGAAACCGGAGCUAAUACCGGAUAACAUUUUGAACCGCAUGGUUCAACAGUGAAAGACGGUCUUGCUGUCACUUAUAGAUGGAUCCGCGCCGCAUUAGCUAGUUGGUAAGGUAACGGCUUACCAAGGCAACGAUGCGUAGCCGACCUGAGAGGGUGAUCGGCCACACUGGAACUGAGACACGGUCCAGACUCCUACGGGAGGCAGCAGUAGGGAAUCUUCCGCAAUGGGCGAAAGCCUGACGGAGCAACGCCGCGUGAGUGAAGAAGGUCUUCGGAUCGUGAAACUCUGUUAUUAGGGAAGAACAAAUGUGUAAGUAACUAUGCACGUCUUGACGGUACCUAAUCAGAAAGCCACGGCUAACUACGUG